rnacentral:rRNA from 1 species
GACAGAGGGUGCAACCGUUGUUCGGAAUUACUGGGCGUAAAGCGCGUGUAGGCAGUUUCGCCAGUCGGGUGUGAAAGCCCUGGGCCCAACCUAGGAAGUGCACUCGAAACUGCGAGACUUGAGUCCUGGAGAGGAAGGCGGAAUUCUCGGUGUAGAGGUGAAAUUCGUAGAUAUCGAGAGGAACACCGGUGGCGAAGGCGGCACUCUGGGCCGGUACUGACGCUGAGGAGCGAAAGCCAGGGGAGCAAACGGG